rnacentral:rRNA from 1 species
UACGUAGGGGGCAAGCGUUGUCCGGAAUCAUUGGGCGUAAAGAGCGUGUAGGCGGCCAGACAGGUCCGUUGUGAAAACUCGAGGCUCAACCUCGAGACGUCGAUGGAAACCGUCGGGCUAGAGUCCGGAAGAGGAGAGUGGAAUUCCGGGUGUAGCGGUGGAAUGCGCAGAUAUCAGGAAGAACACCCCGUGGCGAAGGCGGCUCUCUGGGGACGGUACUGACGCUGAGACGCGAAAAGCGUGGGGGAGCGAAACAGG